UCCGUUUUCUGGGUUCUAAGUGGCGUGUUAAUCAUAUAAAUGUGCAACAAAAUUGCAUGUGUUGUAACCCUUACACAAUAACGAAUAGACAUGUAUAUCAUGGAUUGGUACUCGCGAUAUCUUUAUUCUAUAGUGCUAUCUGUUUUAAAUGGGCAUUCAUCCGCAGUGGUACUUAAAGGUGUGAACCUUAAUUGGAAAGAGGCUAAUGAAGCCUGUCAGUUGAUAAAAUUUUCACAAGUGAAGACAGAAUAUAAAACGUUUAUAAACGAGAUGGAUCCGGGAACCCCUGGAUACUGGAUACAAGACGCAGUAACGGAAUUCAGUGUCGUGAAUAAAGGUUGUCAGAAGAAUGUCAAUGUUUUAGGCUCUACAACGGUUGAAAACAACAGGCUUGUAAACUGCUUUCAAUUUUGUCAGAACAAUGCCAAUACAACGACCAUUGGAGUAAAGGGAAACAAUUGUUCGUGCUUGGCAUCAUUGACAUCUGACACAUAUUUGGCCAUUGACAACUGUGAUAUUACAUGUGUUUGGGAAGACAGACUGUGUGAGAUGGCAACAUUUUUUUCCGUUUUCGAACGACAAGAUAGUAUUGGCGAGCUGGGCGGUUUUCAAAUUGAAGAAUGCAUCUCUAUCUUUUCUGGAAGUGUCGGGAAACUUAACUGUUCAUCACAGAAUAGGUAUAUUUGUCAAAAAAAUGGCAUUUUAAGAGAAUUCCUAGACAAAGUAACUUGGAUGGAGGCUGUGUCUAAAUGUACAAAACAAAAUCAAACAUUAGCUUAUUAUCUACCAUUUUAUGUAAACUACAAUCGCUUACGUUAUCCCUUAUCUCGUUAUUGGAUUGGCAUAAGACAGUUUUAUCAAAUCGAAACGGUGAAACAAGGAAGCAGCUCGUGUCCAGUGAUCCGUCGAUAUAAUAACGUUGAUAUCCGUGUUGAAAACUCAAACUGUGAUGAAAAAAAGAAAUACAUUUGUUCCAAAGAAUAUUAAACAUGAACGGACGAUAUUUCCGAAGACCUUAUCUUAUUACGUGUUUGAUCUACUUUCGCGUCUCCGUAACCUAGCGGCUAUAGACAUUAGACUGAAGAUGUCGAAGAUACUGUAACAGGUAAUACCGGGUAUAUAUAAUUCGACAAGGAAGGUUCUACAUCAACAAAUAUGUGAACAAUAAGCUGUUUUCCGUGAUUUUCUUAAAUCAAGGUAAGUAAGACUAGAGAAGAACGUGAGAUUUUAACAAGUAACUUGUACUUAUAUAAACGUACAGCUAUUGCAGACAAAUUAAUUGUGUAUCUCGUUUUAUAUUUAUAUUACAAAGCAAAGAAAUCAGUAGUACAUACAAAAAAAAAAUUGUAGGAAAUUUUAUUACUAUUAGUUUAACAUUAUACUCAUGUCUUUGAUCUGUUCAUUCACAUUAGAUGAAAUCAUAUAGAAGCCAGAAAAAAGCAAAGCAAAAAACAAAACAAACAAUCAGUUAAUCAAUACAAAGUUUACCAAUCGUACAUAUCGACGGGUGCUGUGGUUUCUGCUCACAUGUGUGUACAUAUGUAAAUCGAGGAGUGUUUAUUCAAUUUGUAUUUCAAACUCAAUUUUGGUCUUAUUUCUUGUAUUAGUGAGAAUGAGAUGAAAAGUGAGCUUGAUAAAGAUUUGUUGCCAUUGAGCUAACAAUGUUUGAGAUAGUACUUGCACAUUAAAUGUAUAUGUAAGAACCCACAAGUCUAAACGUAUAUUACUUGCAUGUUUUUCUGAAGGUAAUAGCGGUAUGUUUUGUGUCAAACUUAAAUGAGCCUAAUAUGCUUAUGUAUUUUCCUCUAUAAUCAAAUCAAAUUUGGCGCCAAAAGCAAGAUGUUAUUACUCGUACUUUGUAAUGCAUGUAUAGCAAGUUUUUGCAUUAAUUUUAUUUAGUAUAUUUUUAAUGCUAAUAAACAGUUUUGCAUGAAUAAGUUUUAAUUGAAUUUAAUAAAUCACAACUAUUGUGAAUUAGAAUACAUGUAUUCGGAAUUUUGCAAAAAAGUCCUCUUCAGCAAACAAGAAUUACUUCAUUAUAAUCUUCAUCUAUUUUAAUAAACAUAGGAAAAAAUAUUAUCACUUGUAGCCAUGUGUUCUAUCAUUCUUGCAUCUUAAUUUUGCAUGACAAAUAGAAGAUUAGAUAUCGUCAUUUAUAAACUUCACUAUGCCCUUUAAAUUUUGAUCAAUAUUCAUCAGUUAUAGGUAUUUAUCGGCAAUAAGUACUAAUAAUCAGCAUGCAAAGUAACGAGGUGUCUAUAAUUAAUACUUGAAAUAAAUUGAAGUUUUCUUAUUUUCAUUAACUUUUUAAAAUAUAAUUGUAAUUAUAUAAUUUAACAUAUUAAUUUGAUGUGAGUUACAGUUUAAACAUAGUCACUAUUUGAGGCUUUAUCUCAGUUCAUUAUCGUUGCUUGCAAUUUGCUGGUUCUUAUAUUUUUACCAGAUUAAUUCAACAUUUUCCAUAAUACAUAAUCCACCGAUUUCUUUUUGGAAUAGUAAUUGGAGUUUUGGCAACAGUAGCAAUACUGCUACUGGGUUUUGUUUGUAUAUCUAUACGACGUAGAAGCGAUAGUUUUCGCCGACGUCAUUACUCGCUAGGUUGCGCGCGUGCACUUGAGGUUAUAAAAAAAUUAAUAUGGCUGACAAAUUAAAAGAGUGGUCGGUGCAAAGUUUUAAUUUCGAGCAACAUGUGGGGGAAGGAAGACUGAUCUUAUCGAAAGAGCCAUUAGAUGUAUUCUGGCCUAUAACUGGCUUUCAGCAACUCAGACCAGAACACAAGCCAAUGCACAGUUAACAUAUAACCAGAUUGAACAAUACUUUCUGUCUAGAAUGGCAGAAGACAAACAGAUAACAUCGGACUUAAAGCAUUGGAAAAGGGAAAGGACCACCUAACUGGAGAGAGACUUUUUGAAUGCAGCAUUAGAUGAUACACAUAUUUAUUUAUCUGAUUCAGCGGGUGCAGCAAUGACACAAAAGUUAUCCUAAAAUUUUAAAAUUGGAAUUGACAUAAAAACAGGAUACCCCCUGAUUUCCCAUUGUGAAUGCCCUGCAGGCAAGAGACCUCAUGGAACAUUUAAGCAUGUUGCUGGUUAUGGUGGAGAGCUUUGUAGAAAAGGGAAAAUUAGCAGCCAGGAAAGGGUGUAAACCACUAGCAGUAGAGAGAAGCCCUUGAAAAAGAAAAUACACCGAUGAAAUGCUGGAGGAUCCAAGGAAAGACAAGUACUUAAAACACUCUUCAGGGUACUCCAGAUACAUCUAUAACUGCAUGGUUAACAUAUCCUAGGUUGCAAGUAAAGACCAUGAUUACCUUCAACUUCCUUUAAUAGGACACUUUGUUGACAAAGCAGUCACUGUCUCUUCAAAAGAUGCCAAGGACAUAGGGACAUCUACAAGGAUGCAAGCCAAGAGUAAAACCUUCAGCUUAUUCGAUAAAAGAAAAAAGCGAAUUACUGCCUCCCGUUUUGGUGACAUUGUAUAAAUGACUUGCUGUGGAGACACUAGAAAAUUGUAUUCUAGCAUGUACCAACAUACAAUACAUCAAUCAUCACAUGUCCCAUCAUUCAUAGUAGGCAGCAUGAGAGUAUAGCAAUUUCCACGCUUGAAGAACUGACUCAUUUCAAGGUCUAAGAGUGUGGGUUAUGUCUGUCAAAUACUCUUUCCUUGGUGCUGCACCAGAUGGUUAAGUAGGGAAUGAAGCCAUGGUAAAAGUUAAAUGCCCAUAUGGUGGUAGAGAUGUUGAUAUUCUUUCUGGGAAGAAAUUCCCAAUUUUUGUUGAACCAAAUGGUAAAAUUACAUUGAAAUCAAAUCAUAUAAAUACCAUGACCAACUCCACGACUACUGUAUAUUUCAGGUACAAUACUCUGCUACUUCAUUGUAUACACAUUUUGUAACAUUUUGAUCUUGAAACAAACUUGAAUAUAUGAAUAUUGUCUGUUUAGUUUAUUGCCAAAACUAGAAAUGUUCUACAAGAAGUAUUUCAGACCAAAUGUCACUUCUUGUUUGUAAUAGGCGUAUAUGCUAUUAGUUUUCAUGCACAUGUUAGCUUAUUGACAUAUUAUACACUUCAUUGUUGAAGUAUUUUGGUGCGCUAGAUAUAGCAAAAAGAUGAUAGAAUGUACAUUUUUGAUGCAGUGGCUUGGUAUUUGCAUCUUCAUUUGAAGUCAUAUUAAAGUCAUUCACUUUUUGUGAAAUAGGUCAAUCAGUAAUGUUACUGUUCUGAAUGAAUAUAAUAUACAAUUAUACCCACGCUCCGAAAGGGGGAGAUAUACUUUUUGACACUAAUGUGUGUCUGGCUAUCGGUAUUGAUUUUCUGUCACAUCUUUUUUUCUGAAAAUAUUAGUUGCACCUGCUUGAAAUUUUAACACCUUUUAUCAAAUAUGUCAUUUGGUGGGAUUCAUUUUUUAACAAACGCAAUAUCAACCUCAAGUUAAAUGCUGACCUUAUUUAUUAUUUAUAUUCAUUAUUUUUUAUUAUAAAUGCGAGGAAAGAAACUGAAGAUGUAGUUCAAUCAAAGUUUAUCAUCUCUUGAUUUUUGCAAAUUUGAAAUUAAUUAUUUGGCAUUUGUAAUUGUUAAUGUUUUUAUCUUAAUAAUACCAGUAAUUAAAACAGACUCUUGUUAUCGUAAUCAUGAUUUAACAGUAUAUUUUUUCUUCAAUUCUCAGCAACCAACAGUUUAAUGACAAAAAAUGGUAUAAACAAUGUGAAUAAAUAAGUCUUGGAAAGGCCAAUUACUCUUUCUACGUUUAUUCUCUGGGAUGCAAUAAUCCUGUCUCAAACAACAUCUCUUGGCUCAAUUUGCGAUUUACCUUUCAGCAUGGUAGGAGUAUUAACAUAUACAUUCAUGGGUGCAAAUCAAAUUCUACGUUCUGCCAAAACACUAUCUUUUGGCAGAAACAUACUUGAUUCUGAUUUGAUCAUGGAACACUCCAUUAUAUGUCGAUUUGAUGCUUAACCACUAAAAGACUCACUAAUAAAUGAGAUUGCACCUCUAGGGGUACAACCGAUCAUUGUUUUCAACCCCAUUCCAAGAUUUUCAGUCUCAUCAUUGGAGAACUUAACUAUGACUUCAUGCUAAACACCGAGAUAGUCACAAAUGCUUGGUUGCACUGGGAUCCUUGUGCUAAGUUGUUGCCUUUUAGAAAUUGUAGAGUUGACGGGGGCAACAGUUUGAACAACACCCUCACUAAGCCUAGAAAGCUCACCUGAAAAACAGAAUGCUGACAUAUUAUAAUGUGCUUGUCAGACAUUCAUAUGCUCAUAUGUGCAAAAAAACAAAUCAGGAAUUUUGCAAAUACC